rnacentral:rRNA from 1 species
UACGUAGGGGGCAAGCGUUGUCCGGAUUCAUUGGGCGUAAAGAGCGUGUAGGCGGCCAGGUAGGUCGGUUGUGAAAACUGGAGGCUCAACCUUCAGAGGUCGACCGAAACCAUCUGGCUAGAGUCCGGAGAGGAGAGUGGAAUUCCUGGUGUAGCGGUGAAAUGCGCAGAUAUCAGGAAGAACACCCGUGGCGAAAGCGGCUCUCUGGAACGGUACUGACGCUGAGACGCGAAAGCGUGGGGAGCGAACAGGAUUAGAACCGUACCGACGUAGACCAA